rnacentral:rRNA from 1 species
CGCCUCCUGCAACUAAAUUGAGUAUAGGAGGUCCAGCCUGCCCAGUGACUACGGGUUCAACGGCCGCGGUAUUUUGACCGUGCAAAGGUAGCGCAAUCACUUGUCUUUUAAAUAGAGACCUGUAUGAAUGGCUAAACGAGGGCUUAACUGUCUCCCCCUUCAAGUCAGUGAAAUUGAUCUAUCCGUGCAGAAGCGGGUAUAAAAAUACAAGACGAGAAGACCCUUUGGAGCUUAAGGUACAAAAUUCAACCACGUCAAGAAAUUCAAUAAAAAACAAAAACUUAGUGGAUUAUGAACUUUUACCUUCGGUUGGGGCGACCACGGAGGAAAAACAAGCCUCCGAGUGGAAUGGGUUAAAUACCUAAAACUAAGAGAAACAUCUCUAAGCCACAGAAAAUCUGACCAAAAAUGAUCCGGCUUAAUGCCGAUCAACGAACCAAGUUACCCUAGGGAUAACAGCGCAAUCCUCUCCCAGAGUCCAUAUCGACGAGGGGGUUUACGACCUCGAUGUUGGAUCAGGACAUCCUAAUGGUGCAGCCGCUAUUAAGGGUUCGUUUGUUCAACGAUUAAAGUCCUACGUGAUCUGAGUUCAGACCGGAGCAAUCCAGGUCAGUUUCUAUCUGUAACGCUAUUUUUCCUAGUACGAAAGGAUCGGAAAAAAGGGGCCUAUACUUAAAGCACGCCCCACCCCUAAUUAAUGAAAACAAAUAAAUUAAAUAAAGGGAGGGCCAAACCCUGCCAGCCAAAAUAAGGACAU